rnacentral:rRNA from 1 species
UAAUACGGAGGAUGCAAGCGUUAUCCGGAAUUAUUGGGCGUAAAGCGUCCGCAGGCGGCUAGAUAAGUCUGCUUUCAAAGAGUGGGGCUCAACCCCAUAGGGGGAGUGGAAACUGUUUAGCUAGAGUAUGGUAGGGGCAGAGGGAAUUCCCAGUGUAGCGGUGAAAUGCGUAGAUAUUGGGAAGAACACCAGUGGCGAAGGCGCUCUGCUGGACCGAGACUGACGCUGAGGGACGAAAGCUAGGGGAGCGAAAGGGA